rnacentral:rRNA from 1 species
AGAGUUUGAUCCUGGCUCAGGAUGAACGCUGGCGGCGUGCCUAAUACAUGCAAGUCGAGCGAAUGGAUUAAGAGCUUGCUCUUAUGAAGUUAGCGGCGGACGGGUGAGUAACACGUGGGUAACCUGCCCAUAAGACUGGGAUAACUCCGGGAAACCGGGGCUAAUACCGGAUAACAUUUUGAACCGCAUGGUUCGAAAUUGAAAGGCGGCUUCGGCUGUCACUUAUGGAUGGACCCGCGUCGCAUUAGCUAGUUGGUGAGGUAACGGCUCACCAAGGCAACGAUGCGUAGCCGACCUGAGAGGGUGAUCGGCCACACUGGGACUGAGACACGGCCCAGACUCCUACGGGAGGCAGCAGUAGGGAAUCUUCCGCAAUGGACGAAAGUCUGACGGAGCAACGCCGCGUGAGUGAUGAAGGCUUUCGGGUCGUAAAACUCUGUUGUUAGGGAAGAACAAGUGCUAGUUGAAUAAGCUGGCACCUGACGGUACCUACCAGAAGUCCGCCUG